UUGAAAGGGAAACGAUUGAAGUCAGUCAUGCCGGUGGGAAUCAACUUGAUGGAAACUCCGGGUGCACUUCCUUGUUCGGCAGGUUAGCAUCAAUUUCGGUUGUCAUCAAAAAAUUGAGGGAAUGUGACUUCUUCGGGAGUGUUAUAGACCUUAGUAAAUGUGAUAGCCGGGAUUGAGGAUUGCAGCGGAUGCUUUUGGGCUAGUCACCUACCUUCUGGCGGUUACCCUGCUUUCGAUAGCUUGCUAACGAUUGUGGGAUUACAGUUUAGAUGUGAAGAGUGAUCUUAUAUUCGUUAAGGAUGUUGACGUA
rnacentral:rRNA from 1 species